rnacentral:lncRNA from 1 species
CGGAGAGUGGCUGACAGGCGGCAGAUGGCACACGCUGGGGGAGGGGGACGAUUGGCCUCGGCUCUGGGGUGCCCCCGCCGCGGGCUGCCUCUGCUAGAGGGGCCUGCUGAAGACUGAGGACGGAGGUGGGGGCAACAGGAUGGGGAGCCCGCAAUAGCCCAUCCUGACCUAAUCCGAAAGGACGAGAUCCUGGAGCCGCUCACAAAGUUUUCCGGGCCCCCUCCCACGCGUCGCCUGCACGUAUGUCCGUUUCCCGACGCUCCGCCCUCCCCCGCCAAGUUCGGCGUCUCCCAGCUCAGCGGCAGUCAGGGUGCAGAGGGAGCCCGACCUUGUCCCCGCCUCGGCCCGUCCCGCUUCUUCUGAAGCUUGUUUCAUUUUUAACUCCUUCCAGAAAAAUGUUGUUUUAAGGAAAAUCUCAAAGGAACAAAAAGCCAAUAGUGCCUUCCUUAUUUGCAAUCCCCACCCACCUCUGAGCUCGGACUGCAAGGGCCUCAAGGGACACCAGGUGACACCUGGGCCUUGCUUCUCACGGGUGACCUUGGACCAGAAAGGGUCAUUUUCAGUAAUGGGUAUGGCUGAGACUCUGCUG